AUGAUGGGACCUCUAUCUCAGCUCUUGUGUUUUCUGAUGCUUUUUCUCUCAGAUUUGAAAAUAGGCAAUGCCAUAACUCAGUCUCCAGCUUCUCUGUCUGUCCAUCCUGGGGAAAGAGUCACCAUCACCUGCCAAACCAAUCCCAAGGAGAACAUUAAGUUUUCAUGGUAUAAACAACCACCAGGCCGGAUUCCUAAACCUCUUGUAUAUGAUACAUCCACCCGAGUUCCAGGAGUCCCAGAACGUUUCAGUGGCAGUCGUUCUGGAACAGCUUUUACCCUUUCCAUCAGCAAUGUGGAGACAAAUGAUACUGGCUCUUAUUUCUGCCUGGAGUGGCCAGGAUACCACAGUGUCCAAAGACCAUGGAUAUUAGACAGAACAGAGUUCACUCUCACCAUCAGCAAGCUGCAGUCUGAAGAUGUUAAGACUUAUUACUGUCAACAAGGUUAUGAUUAUCCUCCCACAGUCAGGAGCAUUGGUAUGAGAACAUCUCUUGUAAUUAAGAACAGAAAUAUACUGAAUGCCAGUGAUGCACACCUCUAA